GAUGAACGCUAGCGGCAGGCUUAAUACAUGCAAGUCGAGGGGCAGCAUGAGUGUAGCAAUACAUUUGAUGGCGACCGGCAAACGGGUGCGGAAUACGUACACAACCUUCCUAUAAGUGGGGAAUAGCCCAGAGAAAUUUGGAUUAAUACCCCGUAACAUAAUGAUGUGGCAUCACAUUAUUAUUAUAGCUUCGGCGCUUAUUGAUGGGUGUGCGGCUGAUUAGAUAGUUGGCGGGGUAACGGCCCACCAAGUCUACGGUCAGUAGCUGAUGUGGAGCCAUGACCGGCCACACGGGCACGGAGCCCCGGGCCCGACUCCUACGGGAGGCAGCAGUACGGAAUAUUGGUCAAUGGACGCAAGUCUGAACCAGCACUGCCGCGUGAAGGAUUAAGGUCCUCUGGAUUGUAAACUUCUUUUAUCUGGGACGAAAAAAGGCGAUUCUUCGUCACUUGACGGUACCAGAUGAAUAAGCACCGGCUAACUCCGUGCCAGCAGCCGCAGUAAAAC
rnacentral:rRNA from 1 species